rnacentral:rRNA from 1 species
GACGAACGCUGGCGGCGUGCUUAACACAUGCAAGUCGAACGGAAAGGCCCUGCUUUUGUGGGGUGCUCGAGUGGCGAACGGGUGAGUAACACGUGAGUAACCUGCCCUUGACUUUGGGAUAACUUCAGGAAACUGGGGCUAAUACCGGAUAGGAGCUCCUGCUGCAUGGUGGGGGUUGGAAAGUUUCGGCGGUUGGGGAUGGACUCGCGGCUUAUCAGCUUGUUGGUGGGGUAGUGGCUUACCAAGGCUUUGACGGGUAGCCGGCCUGAGAGGGUGACCGGCCACAUUGGGACUGAGAUACGGCCCAGACUCCUACGGGAGGCAGCAGGGGGGAAUAUUGCACAAUGGGCGGAAGCCUGAUGCAGCAACGCCGCGUUCGGGAUGACGGCCUUCGGGUUGUAAACCGCUUUCGCCUGUGACGAAGCGUGUGUGACGGUAAUGGGUAAAGAAGCACCGGCUAACUACGUG